rnacentral:rRNA from 1 species
GACGAACGCUGGCGGCGUGCUUAACACAUGCAAGUCGAACGGUGACGAGGAGCUUGCUCCUCUGAUCAGUGGCGAACGGGUGAGUAACACGUGAGCAACCUGCCCCAGACUCUGGGAUAACAGUUGGAAACAGCUGCUAAUACCGGAUACGAGACGGAGAGGCAUCUCUACCGUCUGGAAAGUUUUUCGGUCUGGGAUGGACUCGCGGCCUAUCAGCUAGUUGGUGAGGUAAUGGCUCACCAAGGCGACGACGGGUAGCCGGCCUGAGAGGGCGACCGGCCACACUGGGACUGAGACACGGCCCAGACUCCUACGGGAGGCAGCAGUGGGGAAUAUUGCACAAUGGGCGAAAGCCUGAUGCAGCGACGCCGCGUGAGGGAUGAAGGCC